rnacentral:lncRNA from 1 species
CUACAAGUGGUCAAUCCCUUCAACCUUGAAUUGGCAAACAGGUUUGCGUAUCUCUAUUGUUUAUACUUUCAAUUGGCCAUAUCUACAUAUAUAAUGCAUCAUGAUUAAAUGUUGAUAUAUAAUUUGCUUUCGUAUGGGAAUUUAAAUAUGCCUGAAUACCCUGAAUGUUUGAUCAUGUUAUUCCUGUGAUAAAAUGCCAUUAAAAUUCAAAGUUUCUAACGUGGGGCUGUUUUCAAAUUCAAAAUCCGUGGCGCUCGCUAGCACCUCGCUAGGCGAGCCUGGGGCGAGUAUUC